GCCUGGGUGGCUCAGUCGGUUAAGCGUCCGACUUCGGCUCAGGUCAUGACCUCGCGGUCUGUGAGUUCAAGCCCCGCCUCGGGCU
rnacentral:tRNA from 1 species